UGGUGUGAGGGUGAUCUGGCUGCGACAUCUGUCACCCCACCAAUUGUCAGGGUUGAUCCAGCCGACCUGGCUGGCGAGGCGGGUUUCCCCCUCCUCCGUCGCCGCCCCACGUGUGUCCCUCCCGGAGCCGCACACUGCGCCCAGGAGGAUGACCGUUCCCGGAAGAGGAGGAUAGUGUUCGGUCAGGAGCACAUCAGUACCUAUGCUUUCCUGCUAGAAACCCCUGCACUGACCCUCAAGGGCCAUUUGCGGGAAGGAGGGUAGUCAAACUUCGAGACUUCCAGCACAUCCAAACGAGGUGGUGUGUGUGGCAGUCUGCCUUUCUAA
ensembl:misc_RNA 7SK 7SK RNA